rnacentral:tRNA from 1 species
AUAGAAAAUAAUAAAGUUAUUAUAUCAAUAAAAAAAUAUGCUUGAUAAACUCUAAAAAUUGCUUCUUUUUUUAGCCUUGGCUCUAUUUAUAAAAUUGUAAAGUUUUAUACCACGUACCAUCCGUUGUCGUCCAGCGGUUAGGAUAUCUGGCUUUCACCCAGGAGACCCGGGUUCGAUUCCCGGCAACGGAAGCUGGCACAUUUUUUUUCCCUAGCACCGAAGCUUAGAAUCCAAGCAGUCUUUUAUGCUAACAGUCAAACAGUUACAUGUCUGUUUCUACAAUUUAUUGGAAAAGUUUGUAAUCAUUUCACUCAAAAGUUAGUAAGAAAUUGAUUACAACUCAAAAGCCAGCAACAUGAAAAGAGGAAAACCAUAUUACCAUCUCUUCAGUUAGCUGCUCUUCUCUGUUGUAUGACCUCUCCUCUUCCCCCAUUGCAAACCGGCAUACAGGACAUGUUUUCUGGUACACAUCGAACCAUCUCUCAAUGCAAAACUUAUGGAACUUAUGCAGACAAGGUAGCACCCGCAUGUUGUCUCCUCCAUUCAUUCUCGACAAGCAAACGCAACAGUAUUCACCCUCAGCCUCCAUAUCCUUGGCUGAGCUUGAUUCUCCUGCGGAUUUAAGCAUGGCCUCCUUUGCAUUCUCCGAAACAUCCAAUGCCAUUGCUUCGUAAGUUGUUACAUCUUUAAUCCUUAGAUACCUUCUCAGAGCAAUGAAGUUGUAGAUAAGGGAGGCCAACUUCUUCAAAACCAUUUGAUUUUAAUGGAGAAUUAGCAUUUCUAUUACCUUUAAUAAGAGGACUUAAGCAAGAUGAAAGUGUAUGCAAGUCAGAGCUCUUUCUGUUGUCACUAGUUAUUUUGAGUGGUUUCGAAGAGUUGUUAGAUAUGGAGGAACGAUUUUGAGUUUCCAACAAAAAGCGGUUGUACCUAAACAUGAGUGUUACUCUUGACCUUUUCAAAGAUACUAGUAAAUACCUACUGCCUCAUCUUAGUAGCUCAACUCCUGCUUCAUCCUUUCAUUAAGUACUUUGUCUUCAAGUCAUAAGAUGCAAUCAAGUACUAAAUUAUCAUUUUCUCACCUUUGGAUCCAGCAAAUUUGUCUCACAAAAUGGAUAAUCCUCAAGACUAUAAUAUUGCUACAAGCAAAAAUCAAGAAUUCAUAUAGAUACAGGAAAAAUCCCUGUCACAUUAAUAUUUAUUGCUUUUACCAUCUUUCAAUCACUAAUACAAUAUGUAAAGACCACUACUACAAAUGGUACUACAUCCUUGAUAGUGAAAUGAUGAUUGCUUGGUGGAUUGCAUAAAAGAAAAAUAUUCUAAAUUCAGGAGUCCAAGUGCAGAUCAUUGGUCUAUGAAUCUAAGAAAUAGCAGGAAUUCUUCAUCUAUAGCAAUAUCAGUUGAAUUGUCUACAAGUUGUAAUUGGCAAUCAAUUACUAAAUUAUCAUCUUUUCACCCCUUGCUCUAGAAAACUUGUCAAUGUAAUGGCUAAUCCUCAAGACUAUCAUUAGCUACAAGCACCACCUACAGUAACCUUUGCAAGUCCAUUUGUGUCUGUCAAAACUCAAGCAAUUAUCCUGCCCGAUUUAUUCAACUUCUACUGAAGAUCAUGUUUACAGCAAAUGAUGCUCAAGCACAAACAAAUUCAACAUUUUUUGACAAGUUAUUGUCAAAAAGUGAAGAACAAAUAUUGAUAUUGCAUUGGCAAGUGAGAAAUAUAGAAUCGUUCAAAAACUACUGUAAUAAGAGAGUCACGUAUAAAUAUCUGAUAUGCAAGUCUAACAAACGAAGGUAUGAAUUAAAUGAGCAAUAAACUAGGGGCACCUCUCCUCUUCCCAUACCCACACCCCAUUCAGUGGGAUUUGAACUCAAUACCUUAUGCACCUAUAUAUCCGAUAUGUAUGUCUAACAUCAAGUAAUUAGAUGGUUAUCUAAAGAUCAAAAUAACUCAGCCAUGUGGAGAAGGGCACAGGGGAGAUACAACAUCCAAAAGCAGAAAAAAAAAGAACCUAUUUCAGUCAACCUUAAAAUAAAACACAUUUAUAAACCAUUGAAUACAAACAACUUUAUUGCAGCUCAACACAUGAUCAAAACCUCAAAGGUCUGCAGAAGAUGAUUCAGGGCCUUUUAGAAGCUGACACUGUUCAUAUUUCUUUUCCUGGUAAUAUUGGCUAACUUGUAUGAUGAUAGAAGUUUUUAUUCAUCAGCUGAUAAUACUAAUAACAUAACAUACAAUUCAAUUCAAUUCAACUCAGCAUUGAUUCCAAUUUGGGUAAUUAUAUGGAUCUGUUUUCUUAUAACAUAGCAUUUGCUUACAACAGUUAAAAUAAACAACAACCUCCCCCAUAAGCCAGCCAACCCCACCCCCCUUUCCUUCCUUCAAAAAAGAAAGAAAGAAAACUGCAUAUGCAUAAAACAUGGUUAUGCUUCUUAUUGUUAAAAAUCUAAUAAUAAACACAAGUGAGAUGCACGCAUAGGAACUUUUCCAUUUUUGAAAGCAUUGAACUAGAUAAAGGAGGAGGGUUGCGGUA